rnacentral:rRNA from 1 species
UUGACAUCCAGAGAACUUGGCAGAGAUGCCUUGGUGCCUUCGGGACCUCUGAGACAGGUGCUGCAUGGCUGUCGUCAGCUCGUGUUGUGAAAUGUUGGGUUAAGUCCGCAACGAGCGCAACCCCUAUCCUUUGUUGCCAGCGAUUCGGUCGGGAACUCAAAGGAGACUGCCGGUAAUAAACCGGAGGAAGGUGGGGAUGACGUCAAGUCAUCAUGGCCCUUACGAGUAGGGCUACACACGUGCUACAAUGGCGCAUACAAAGAGAAGCGACCUCGCGAGAGCAAGCGGACCUCAUAAAGUGCGUCGUAGUCCGGAUCGGAGUCUGCAACUCGACUCCGUGAAGUCGGAAUCGCUAGUAAUCGUAGAUCAGAAUGCUACGGUGAAUACGUUCCCGGGCCUUGUACACACCGCCCGUCACACCAUGGGAGUGGGUUGCAAAAGAAGUAGAUAGCUUAACCUUCGGGAGGGCGUUUACCACUUUGUGAUUCAUGACUGGGGUGAAGUCGUAACAAGGUAAGCGUAGCGAG